GGAUGCUGUCAUACCAGCACUAACGCACCAGAUCCCAUCAGAACUCCGAAUUAAGCGUGCUUGUGCGAGAGUAGUACUAGCAUGGCUGACCCCCUGGGAAGUCCUCGAAUUGCAUCCC
rnacentral:rRNA from 1 species